GAUGAACGCUGGCGGCGUGCCUAAUACAUGCAAGUCGAGCGAACAGACGAGGAGCUUGCUCCUCUGACGUUAGCGGCGGACGGGUGAGUAACACGUGGAUAACCUACCUAUAAGACUGGGAUAACUUCGGGAAACCGGAGCUAAUACCGGAUAAUAUAUUGAACCGCAUGGUUCAAUAGUGAAAGACGGUUUUGCUGUCACUUAUAGAUGGAUCCGCGCCGCAUUAGCUAGUUGGUAAGGUAACGGCUUACCAAGGCAACGAUGCGUAGCCGACCGUAGAGGGUGAGCGGCCAAACGGGAAGUGAGACACGGUCCAGACGCCUACGGGAGGCAGAAGUAGGGAAUCUUCCGCAAGGGGCGAAAGCCUGACGGAGCAACGCCGCGUGAGUGAUGAAGGUUUUCGGAUCGUAAAACUCUGUUAUUAGGGAAGAAAAAAUGUGUAAGUAACUAUGCACGUCUUGACGGGACCUAAUCAGAAAGACAGGGCUAACGACGUG
rnacentral:rRNA from 1 species